CUGCGCUUCCUUUUCAGGCUUCCCAUUUAACCUAUUCGACAAUCUUAUAACGUCCUUCAUGUGCGUCUCCACUUCCGUCGCUAACGCAUCCACAUCCUCCUCCCCUGACGGCCUGUCCUCCAGCCACGUCACCUCCGCGACAAGGUAAGGUUUCGUACGGACUAUAUUGGUUACACGAAACCGUUCCUGCCCUUUGCAAAUGAGGAAGAAUCGGUCAUCAACGAGGCGUUCGUGCUUGAUGAUUUCACCGACGCAGCCCACUUCGGCGGUGCCGGAGACGGCGUCGGAGAAGAUGACGCCGAAACGGAGGUCGGUGCGGAGGAGGGUGUGCAUCAUAAUGCGGUAACGGAAUUCGAAGAUCUGUAGAGGGAGGAUUGCGCCUGGGAAUAGAACAAGCGGGAGUGGAAAUAGUGGGAGUUCAACGACGUCGUCUGAUUUUGGAUGGUUUGUGUUGUGGUGUUUCUCGGAGAAUGAUGAGGCCGAGCAUUUUAAUGAGGCGGCUCGCCGUUUUUGGCGGCCACUGUGGAGGAGCGAGUCAAGUGAUGAUGACAAUUUGGAGAGGGAAUUGAGAUUGUUAGGGUUUAAUGAGGAAAGAGCGGUGGUGUUGGGUUUUAACGAGGGUUUGUGAGUGGAAAUUAGCUGUGGAAGAGCCAUUUGGGGAAGAAUGUCGAGGGACGGACACUUUAGUUCGGUUCGAUUCAGUUCAGUUCCAUGAGUAAAAUGUAUU
rnacentral:lncRNA from 1 species